GGUUCAGACCGUCGUGAGACAGGUCGGUCUCUAUCCGCUGUGGGCGUAAGGGAUUUGAGAGGAGCUGCCCCUAGUACGAGAGGACCGGGGUGGACAGACCUCUGGUGUGCCAGUUGUCGUGCCAACGGCAUCGCUGGGUAGCCAUGUCUGGCAGGGAUAACCGCUGAAAGCAUCUAAGCGGGAAGCUCGCCUCGAGAUGAGAUCCCUCUUCCCGUAAGGGAGUAAGAUCGCAGGUAGACCACCUGCUUGAUAGGCAGCGUGUGUAAGCGUAGCAAUACGUUGAGCUAAGCUGUACUAAUGAUCGAGGGCUUC
rnacentral:rRNA from 1 species